rnacentral:rRNA from 1 species
UGGGGAAUAUUGCACAAUGGGCGCAAGCCUGAUGCAGCCAUGCCGCGUGUAUGAAGAAGGCCUUCGGGUUGUAAAGUACUUUCAGCGGGGAGGAAGGGAGUAAAGUUAAUACCUCUGCUCAUUGACGUUACCCGCAGAAGAAGCACCGGCUAACUCCGUGCCAGCAGCCGCGGUAAUACGGAGGGUGCAAGCGUUAAUCGGAAUUACUGGGCGUAAAGCGCACGCAGGCGGUUUGUUAAGUCAGAUGUGUAAUCCCCGGGCUCAACCUGGGAACUGCAUCUGAUACUGGCAAGCUUGAGUCUCGUAGAGGGGGGUAGAAUUCCUGGUGUAGCGGUGAAAUGCGUAGAGAGCGGGAGGAAUACCGGUGGCGAAGGCGGCCCCCUGGACGAAGACUGACGCUCAGGUGCGAAAGCGUGGGGAGCAAACAGG